rnacentral:lncRNA from 1 species
ACCUUCUCAACAUGGCGAGCUUGCUGGACGUCACGUCGCCUUCGCCUUUUCCGCUGCGGACUCUGCUCACCGACCUCCUCAGUAGAGCCGGCCCUGCUCACUACCGCGCCCACGUGUCCUGUUGUGCUUCAUUCCCACAGGCCGCAUAAGAUAUUCACUGAGCACCUAAUAUUGCCAGGCUGUGCUCAAGGCAGUGGGAUUCAUCAGUGAACAAUACAGACAAAAAUCACUGACCUAAAUGGAGCUUGAAGUUUAUAUCUAAAUCAUUCAAAGAUUCUGUGGUGGAAAAGAAGUUAGAAAUCUUUCAGCUGCAAAACAUAAGCCAAAAUACAACUCACCUUUGGAAUCAGAGAACUUACAGGUUCAUAAAAUUGCGAAGCCCAGAUGUGCACCUGAGGUGAGACUUCGUCCAGCUUCUGUCUGUGUCACUAAUCUUUCCUGCUUUCAGCGGCAUCCCUCGCAGGCCCGUGUUGUUCCCAACUGGUGUUCCCACCUGGCGGCAAACUGGUGACUGUAGUUACAGAUCUUCAACAUCACACUCAGGAGAAGAAGGAGAUUGCUUUUCAGGAGCUCCUGCAAGCCGGAGAAUAAAAGCUCUUAUUUAUUCAGAAGCCCUAAAACAUACCACCUUGGCUAUAGACUAUUUGGACAUUUCUAAGCAAAUCUGUCUGCAAAGGUGCUGAGCUGUGUUGAUCAACUGAAGCCCGUGACGUCUCAUCCUUGCAGUUGGAGGAGAUAAAAACAUUCCUGUGAAAGAUGCCCUUCCCUGCACCGGGAGAAAAGAAGCAUUCUGCGACCAGGAGCCAUAGCGAAGAUAAUUCUGUAGAAACAGACCGUGGUAAAAUAAUGCCUAUCUUCCUGCAGCCUCCCCACGUAAUUUAGUUACUUUUCCACAGCUGCUUCUUUUUGCUCAACCUAAUAUCAAAGCAGUUAGGUAUUGCCAUUUCUUUGGGUCUUCAUUUUCUUAUUCAGGCUCCUGUGCCAUGUAAAACCUCUAUUAAAUUUGUAUGAUUUUCUCCUGAUAACCUACCUAUGUCAACUUCACUCUCAGAUCCAGCCAGGAACUAAGAAGGCAGAGGUAGAGUCUCACUUCUCCUCUACAGGUUCCAAAAUCAUCAGUUGAAGAUGAUCCUGCUUCAUCUACAUCCCACCAGUUCCUGGCCCCCAUAGUAAGCAAGCCGUGGACAUUAUGUAGUUUUAUCCUGAAAAUUUUUAGGAUAUCUCGAGAAGCUAAGAACUCUAAAUAAAACAACCACCAAAUGACUAUCUCAUAUAAAAAUUUAGCAAUUUCUUAACUUAUAAAAUAUCAUGUGCA